rnacentral:tRNA from 1 species
CCUGGUAGCUGAGACAGUAAAGCAUCUGCCUACAAUGCAGGAGACCCGGGUUCAAUCCCUGGGUCAGGA